rnacentral:rRNA from 1 species
CUGUGCGCAGUCGUGGGGCAAGGUUGCGAAGCCCUCUUCCACGGCGCAGUGAAAGCGAGAGGAGCAGUAUCCCUGUUCCGCAGCCCGCGCGAUCCCUGCCGAGCGCGUCGCGUCACACCGGCGCGCGGAGCGGGGCGCAGCGCGGACCCGCGCCAGCCGCUUAAUAUGCCGGCGGCGCGGAGUUGGAGCGUACACGUUGGGACCCGAAAGAUGGUGAUCUAUGCCAGGGCAGGGCGAAGCCAGAGGAAACUCUGGUGGAAGCCCGCCGCGAUUCUGACGUGCAAAUCGAUCGUCGGACCUUGGCAUAGGGGCGAAAGACUAAUCGAACCAUCUAGUAGCUGGUUCCCUCCGAAGUUUCCCUCAGGAUAGCUGGUGCGCGUGGAUAGCAGUCGCAUCCAGUCGAGCGAAUGAUUAGAGGCCUUGGGAUCGAAACGAUCUCAACCUAUUCUCAAACUCACAACGGGUGCGUAGACCGGUUUGCUUGAAUGAAACCCGGUCGUGACUUGAAGAUGCUGCGUACCCAGUGGGCCCGUUUUGGUAAGCAGAACUGGCGAUGCGGGAUGAACCGAACGUCCGGUUAGGGCACCGCAGCACGGACGCUCAUGGGAUCCCACGAAAGGUGUUGGUUGCUUUAGACAGCAGGACGGUGGCCAUGGAAGUUGGAAUCCGCUAAGGAGUGUGUAACAA